rnacentral:rRNA from 1 species
GAUGAACGCUGGCGGCGUGCCUAAUACAUGCGAGUCGAGCGAACGGACGAGAAGCUUGCUUCUCUGAUGUUAGCGGCGGACGGGUGAGUAACACGUGGAUAACCUACCUAUAAGACUGGGAUAACUUCGGGAAACCGGAGCUAAUACCGGAUGAUAUUUUGAACCGCAUGGUUCAAAAGUGAAAGACGGUCUUGCUGUCACUUAUAGAUGGAUCCGCGCUGCAUUAGCUAGUUGGUAAGGUAACGGCCUACCAAGGCAACGAUGCAUAGCCGACCUGAGAGGGUGAUCGGCCACACUGGAACUGAGACACGGUCCAGACUCCUACGGGAGGCAGCAGUAGGGAAUCUUCCGCAAUGGGCGAAAGCCUGACGGAGCAACGCCGCGUGAGUGAUGAAGGUCUUCGGAUCGUAAAACUCUGUUAUUAGGGAAGAACAUAUGUGUAAGUAACUGUGCACAUCUUGACGGUACCUAAUCAGAAAGCCACGGCUAACUACGUG